rnacentral:rRNA from 1 species
UACGUAGGGUGCAAGCGUUAAUCGGAAUUACUGGGCGUAAAGCGUGCGCAGGCGGUUUUGUAAGUCUGUCGUGAAAUCCCCGGGCUCAACCUGGGAAUGGCGAUGGAGACUGCAAGGCUAGAGUUUGGCAGAGGGGGGGUAGAAUUCCACGUGUAGCAGUGAAAUGCGUAGAGAUGUGGAGGAACACCGAUGGCGAAGGCAGCCCCCCUGGGUCAAGAUUGACGCUCAUGCACGAAAGCGUGGGGAGCAAACAGG